rnacentral:rRNA from 1 species
GAUGAACGCUGGCGGCGUGCCUAAUACAUGCAAGUCGAACGAAACUUCUUUAUCACCGAGUGUUUGCACUCACCGAUAAAGAGUUGAGUGGCGAACGGGUGAGUAACAUGUGGGCAACCUGCCCCAAAGAGGGGGAUAACACUUGGAAACAGGUGCUAAUACCGCAUAACCAUAGUUACCGCAAGGUAACUAUGUAAAAGGUUGCUAUACUACCGCUUUUGGAUGGGCCCGCGGCGCAUUAGCUAGUUGGUAAGGUAAAGGCUUACCAAGGCAAUGAUGCGUAGCCGAAUUGAGAGGGUGAUCGGCCACAUUGGGACUGAGACACGGCCCAAACUCCUACGGGAGGCAGCAGUAGGGAAUCUUCCGCAAUGGGCGAAAGCCUGAUGGAGCAACGCCGCGUGGGUGAAGAAGGUCUUCGGAUCGUAAAACCCUGUUGUUAGAGAAGAAAGUGCGUGAGAGUAACUGUUCACGUUUCGACGGUAUCUAACCAGAAAGCCACGGCUAACUACGUG